AAAGUAGACCGGACGGUCGCCUCAAGGUGCUACGGUACUUUGCGGAGGAAAGUCCGAACUCCAAAGGACAGGGCGGUCGCUAACGGCGACUUCGAGUGAUCGGAGGAAAGUGCCACAGAAAAUAGACUGUCUCGAAUUUUCGGGAUGAUGGUGAAAAGGUGGGGUAAGAGCCCACCGCCCCGGUGGUGACAUUCGGGGGCAUGGUAAACCCCGCCCGGAGCAAGACCAAAUAGGUUCCGUGUUUCCCGCUUUUUGGGAAAAAAGAGUUGUCCGCUCAAUUCGCUCUGCGUAACGGAAUGGGUAGGUUGCUUGACCCCGUCAGCAAUGGCGAGGCUAGAUAAAUGACCGUCACCCCGAUUUUGGGGAUACAGAAUUCGGCUUACAGGCCUACUUUGGAU
rnacentral:RNase_P_RNA from 1 species